rnacentral:rRNA from 1 species
UACGUAGGGUCCGAGCGUUGUCCGGAAUUACUGGGCGUAAAGAGCUCAUAGGUGGUUUGUCGCGUUGUUCGUGAAAACUCACAGCUCAACUGUGGGCGUGCGGGCGAUACGGGCAGACUAGAGUACUGCAGGGGAGACUGGAAUUCCUGGUGUAGCGGUGGAAUGCGCAGAUAUCAGGAGGAACACCGGUGGCGAAGGCGGGGCUCUGGGCAGUAACUGACGCUGAGGAGCGAAAGCGUGGGGAGCGAACAGG